AAGAGGGAAACAACCCAGACCGCCAGCUAAGGUCCCAAAGUCAUGGUUAAGUGGGAAACGAUGUGGGAAGGCCCAGACAGCCAGGAUGUUGGCUUAGAAGCAGCCAUCAUUUAAAGAAAGCGUAAUAGCUCACUGGUCGAGUCGGCCUGCGCGGAAGAUGUAACGGGGCUAAACCAUGCACCGAAGCUGCGGCAGCGAACGUAUCACUUAAAGCGAUUCAGCGGGUUACGAUUGACGGAGCGAAGCGACGUCAAAGCGUAUACAAAGUCGAGUCGGUUUAAGGAUACGUUCGUUGGGUAGGGGAGCGUUCUGUAAGCCUGUGAAGGUGGCCUGUGAGGGUUGCUGGAGGUAUCAGAAGUGCGAAUGCUGACAUAAGUAACGAUAAAGCGGGUGAAAAGCCCGCUCGCCGGAAGACCAAGGGUUCCUGUCCAACGUUAAUCGGGGCAGGGUGAGUCGACCCCUAAGGCGAGGCCGAAAGGCGUAGUCGAUGGGAAACAGGUUAAUAUUCCUGUACUUGGUGUUACUGCGAAGGGGGGACGGAGAAGGCUAUGUUGGCCGGGCGACGGUUGUCCCGGUUUAAGCGUGUAGGCUGGUUUUCCAGGCAAAUCCGGAAAAUCAAGGCUGAGGCGUGAUGACGAGGCACUACGGUGCUGAAGCAACAAAUGCCCUGCUUCCAGGAAAAGCCUCUAAGCAUCAGGUAACAUCAAAUCGUACCCCAAACCGACACAGGUGGUCAGGUAGAGAAUACCAAGGCGCUUGAGAGAACUCGGGUGAAGGAACUAGGCAAAAUGGUGCCGUAACUUCGGGAGAAGGCACGCUGACACGUAGGUGAAGUGAUUUACUCAUGGAGCUGAAGUCAGUCGAAGAUACCAGCUGGCUGCAACUGUUUAUUAAAAACACAGCACUGUGCAAACACGAAAGUGGACGUAUACGGUGUGACGCCUGCCCGGUGCCGGAAGGUUAAUUGAUGGGGUCAGCGCAAGCGAAGCUCCUGAUCGAAGCCCCGGUAAACGGCGGCCGUAACUAUAACGGUCCUAAGGUAGCGAAAUUCCUUGUCGGGUAAGUUCCGACCUGCACGAAUGGCGUAAUGAUGGCCAGGCUGUCUCCACCCGAGACUCAGUGAAAUUGAACUCGCUGUGAAGAUGCAGUGUACCCGCGGCAAGACGGAAAGACCCCGUGAACCUUUACUAUAGCUUGACACUGAACAUUGAGCCUUGAUGUGUAGGAUAGGUGGGAGGCUUUGAAGCGUGGACGCCAGUCUGCGUGGAGCCGACCUUGAAAUACCACCCUUUAAUGUUUGAUGUUCUAACGUGGACCCGUUA
rnacentral:rRNA from 1 species